rnacentral:rRNA from 1 species
UACAGAGGUGGCAAGCGUUGUUCGGAAUUACUGGGCGUAAAGGGCGCGUAGGCGGCUUGGUCAGUCCCGUGUGAAAUCCCUCGGCUCAACUGAGGAACUGCACGGGAAACUGCCUGGCUUGAGUUCGGGAGAGGGAAGCGGAAUUCCGGGUGUAGCGGUGAAAUGCGUAGAUAUCCGGAGGAACACCGGUGGCGAAGGCGGCUUCCUGGACCGACACUGACGCUGAGGUGCGAAAGCGUGGGGAGCAAACAGG